CCGGCCCCCACCUUGGCCCGCUUCGGGGGCACCCCGGGGCUCGGGGGUGCCCGCGUGCCCGCGUCCUCGCCUCUCGUGCCCCGGGCUUUCUGCAUGGCCUCUGCAGGCUGGGCUGGGGGGACGCUGCAACCUCGCGGCCACGGGGGCCCCCGGGGAGAUGCUGCCCUGAGAGGCCCCUGGUUCCCAGCCUCGCUGGGCACAGGGAGAGGAAGAGGAAAUGGUGAACACGCGUGACGUGCCGCGUGUCCAGAGGCCAGGGGGAUAGGCAGGCCGGGAGGCAGGCUCAAGUGGAGGUGAGUAGAGAGCUGGGGAAGAGGGACCAGUUGCCUCCCCCCACACC
rnacentral:lncRNA from 1 species